AGCUCCAAUAUCCUAUAUUAAAGUUGUUGCAGUAAAAAAUUCUUAGUUAGAUUUUUGGCUUGCCAUGUGGGUCUGCUUUUACGAGUGUGCUUCAUACAUGUCUGGCGAUCCUUUGGGAGAGUCACAGUAGCAUUAAGUUGUUAGUGUGGGGAUCCUAAUCCUUUACUGGAAAGAAAGUAUAGUGCUCAAAGUAGGCUUAUGCCGUUGAAUAUAUUAGCAUGGAAUAAUAACAUGGGAUUGUACUAUUUUGUUGGUUUGUGUACAAUAUUGAUCAUCAACAGGGACAGUUGGGGGUAUUUGUAUUCCAUUGUCAGAGGUGAAAUUCUUGAAUUUUUGAAGAAAAACUACUGCAAAAGCAUUUACCAAAAAUGUUUUCA
rnacentral:rRNA from 1 species